rnacentral:rRNA from 1 species
UACAGCUGUACCAUGCUGAAUGCACCUGAUCUCCUGAUCUCGGAAAAUAAACAGGGUCAGGCCUGGUUAGUACUUGAAUAGGAGAAUAAGACUAUGCUGAAC